GACGAACGCUGGCGGCGUGCUUAACACAUGCAAGUCGAACGAAGUGGCGCACGGGUGAGUAAUACGUGGGUAACCUGCCCUCCUUUUUGGGAUAAGCCUUUGAAACGGGGUCUAAUACCGACUAAAGGGGGAUGGGCUCGCGGCCUAUCCGCUUGGUGGUGGGGUAAUGGGCUACCAAGGCGGUGCCGGGUAGCCUGCAUGAGAGGGUGAACGGGAACAGUGGGACUGUGAUAAGGCCCACGGUACUACGGGGGGGAGCAGUGGGGGAAAUUGCACAAUGGGCGAAAGCCUGAUGCAGCGAGGCCGCGGGGGGGAUGAGGGCUUUCGGGUUGUAAACCUGGGUCGCUAUCGAACGGGUAGGUGGAGAAGAAGCGCCGGCUAACUACGUGCCAGCAGCCGCGGUAAUUC
rnacentral:rRNA from 1 species